rnacentral:rRNA from 1 species
AGUAAUACAUAAGUAACCUGCCCUAGACAGGGGGAUAACUAUUGGAAACGAUAGCUAAGACCGCAUAGGUACGGACACUGCAUGGUGACCGUAUUAAAAGUGCCUCAAAGCACUGGUAGAGGAUGGACUUAUGGCGCAUUAGCUGGUUGGCGGGGUAACGGCCCACCAAGGCGACGAUGCGUAGCCGACCUGAGAGGGUGACCGGCCACACUGGGACUGUGACACGGCCCAG